rnacentral:rRNA from 1 species
UACGGAGGGUGCAAGCGUUAUCCGGAUUUACUGGGCGUAAAGGGCGCGUAGGCGGCAAUUCAAGUCAUCUGUGAAAUCUCCGGGCUUAACUCGGAACGGUCAGAUGAUACUGCUUUGCUAGAGUGCGGAAGGGGCAAUCGGAAUUCUUGGUGUAGCGGUGAAAUGCGUAGAUAUCAAGAGGAACACCUGCGGCGAAGGCGGGUUGCUGGGCUGACACUGACGCUGAGGCGCGAAAGCUAGGGGAGCAAACGGG